rnacentral:lncRNA from 1 species
UCAUUCGCCGCCUGAAGAGACGAGAUGGCGGAGCUUGCGAAAUCGAAAAUUGGUACUUGAAAGUCAAUGGUUGAUCAUGAUGACCAUCUUUUAUUUAAUGGAGAAAGAAACCAAUAUUUGCAGCUGGACAGGCUGUCACCACAGUUCAAUGAUUUAGUUAAGAUAAUGAAAUAGAAGAACUCAACACUUGCACCAGUGGAGGUACUUUUUAUUGGAUAGAGAACUUUUCAAGGUCAGACAUCAGCUUUUGAAGUUGCUUUCUUGGCACAUCAUGCUGUCCAGUGGAGUUCAUACCAUAUACCAAGCCUUUAUACAUGGUCAAAGAAGAUGAAUUUGUUAUUCAAUUUGUGAAAUUUGAUUUAGCGAGGACUUUCAUAUAUGAUGAUUA